rnacentral:rRNA from 1 species
UGAGUACGAGCUGCUACGGCAGCGAAGUGGGUGAUGUCAAGCUUCCAAGAAAAGCCCUAUACCCGUUAAGGCAUGACGGCCUGUACCCGAAACCGACACAGGUGGGGUGGUAGAGAAUACCGAGGGGCGCGAGAUAACUCUCUCUAAGGAACUCGGCAAAAUGGCCCCGUAACUUCGGGAGAAGGGGUGCCACCGCAAGGUGGUCGCAGUGAAGAGGCCCAGGCGACUGUUUACCAAAAACACAGGUCUCCGCUAAGUCGCAAGACGAUGUAUGGGGGCUGACGCCUGCCCAGUGCCGGAAGGUUAAGGAAGCUGGUCAGCGCAAGCGAAGCUAGCGACUGAAGCCCCGGUGAACGGCGGCCGUAACUAUAACGGUCCUAAGGUAGCGAAAUUCCUUGUCGGGUAAGUUCCGACCCGCACGAAAGGCGUAACGAUCUGGGCGCUGUCUCGGAGAGAGGCUCGGCGAAAUAGAAUUGUCUGUGAAGAUGCGGACUACGUGCACCCGGACAGAAAGACCCUAUGAAGCUUUACUGUAGCUUGGUAUUGUGCCCGGGCUCUGAAUGCGCAGGAUAGGUGGGAGGCUAUGAACCAUUGCUUGCGGGUGAUGGUGAGCCAACGGUGAGAUACCACUCUUUCAGAGCUAGGGUUCUAACCCUUACCCGUUAUCCGGGGAGGGGACAGUAUCAGGUGGGCAGUUUGACUGGGGCGGUCGCCUCCUAAAAGGUAACGGAGGCGCGCAAAGGUUCCCUCAGGCUGGUUGGAAAUCAGCCGACGAGUGUAAAGGCAGAAGGGAGCUUGACUGUGAGACCAACAAGUCGAACAGGGACGAAAGUCGGCCUUAGUGAUCCGACGGUUCCGAGUGGAAGGGCCGUCGCUCAACGGAUAAAAGUUACUCUAAGGAUAACAGGCUGAUCUCCCCCAAGAGUUCACAUCGACGGGGAGGUUUGGCACCUCGAUGUCGGCUCAUCGCAACCUGGGGCUGAAGUCGGUCCCAAGGGUUGGGCUGUUCGCCCAUUAAAGCGGUACGCGAGCUGGGCUCAGAACGUCGUGAGACAGUUCGGUCCAUAUCCGGUGCAUGCGCAGGAACAUUGAGAGGAUUUCUCCCUAGUACGAGAGGACCGGGAGGAACGCACCUCUGGUGUACCAGUUAUCGUGCCAACGGUAAACGCUGGGUAGCCAUGUGCGGAGCGGAUAACCGCUGAAAGCAUCUAAGUGGGAAGCCCACCUCAAGAUGAGUGUUCCCAUGGCAAAAGCCAGUAAGGUCACGGGCAGAACACCCGUUGAUAGGCUCUACGUGGAAGCGCAGCAAUGCGUGAAGCGGAGGAGUACUAAUAGACCGAGGGCUUGACC